CUAAAGUCUCCUAAGAGCCUCUCUUCAAGGUACUCACGCUGAAUCUGUGUGAUUUGGCUACUGCCUCCUCUCCUUUUCUUUUAGUCACCCAGGCUGGAGGGCAGUGGCAUGAUCUCAGUCCAGCCUGGGCAACAGAGCGAGACUCCAUCUCAAAAAAACGAAACAAAACAAAACAAUAUACCACCAGAACAGUGCCUGACACUUAGUAAAUCAGUAAAUCAUGGUUAUUAUCAGAAUGUCCUCCCACUUAGAGGGCUGACAAACUCCUGCUUCUCUUCCAGACCCUGUCUAGGUGUCAUAUCCUACGUGAAGCCUGUCCAGACCGCCCCAAGUCAGAGUUAAUUGCCUUUUCAUUAGUUCCUCACCUGUUUCUUUUUUUUCUUUUUUCUUUUUUUUUUUGAGACAGGGUCUCCCUCUGCCUCCCGGGUUCAAGCGAUUUUCCUGCCUCAGCCUCCUGAGCUGGGAUUACAGGCGCCAGCCACCACAUCCGGCUAAUUUUUUAUAUUUUUAGUAUAAGCCACCGCGCCCGGCCAGUAUUUUUAUAUGUCCCUUAUUACAUGGAACUUCUAUCAUGUUCAAUCUUCUGAAUCUAAAAUAAGGUGUCAGUGCCUCACCAGAGAUUCUUGCUGUCCUAAAGAAAAGCUCAUUAACACAUUUGGGUCUAUAACUGGUGAACUCAAACUGAACUGGUGAACGAAUAUUUUUGGGGUGGAGUACUUCCUGUGUUGGGCCUGCCUAGUCCAGAUUUGUCAACAUCCUGCCUCCCAACUCCCACUGUUAACUAGGCUGCCCAGAGAAUAAUGCACAAUACCAGCCUCACCCCUCACCCUGGAGGCCCUAACCACACAUAACUUCUUUCAGUUCCCCAAAAGGCUCUGGGCAUUCCUUAAAGCCACUCUUUCUGGCAUUCUCUAGCCCUUAUUUCUCCCCUUUGCUUAGCCAUUCUUUACUUAAUCUUUAGGUUCCAUCUUAGACAUCAUUCCCUCCACCCCCAACAACCAAAGCCUUCUCUUAUCUCCCAAAAUGGCUUAAAUUAUUCUCCCAGGCAGCCACUGAGCCCUUCAUUCUUCCCCUAUCACAACACUUAUCACAUUUUAUUGUCAUUACUUGUCUGGCUCUUCUGGUAAAUUGUAGGCUUCACAAGCCAGGCAACAUGUCUGUAAAGCUAUCCCAAGUUGCAGUCCCUGGCCCAUAGUUGAUGUCCAGUAACUGCUGCUAGGAGAAAAAAUGGGUCAGGUGUAAUGGCUCAUGCCUGUAAUCCCAG
rnacentral:lncRNA from 1 species